rnacentral:rRNA from 14 species
AAGAGGGACAGUCGGGGGCAUUCGUAUUUCAUUGUCAGAGGUGAAAUUCUUGGAUUUAUGAAAGACGAACUACUGCGAAAGCAUUUGCCAAGGAUGUUUUCAUUGAUCAAGAACGAAGGAAGGGGGAUCGAAAACGAUCAGAUACCGUUGUAGUCUCUUCUGUAAACUAUGCCAAUUGGGGAUUAGCUUAGGAUUUUUAAUGACUAAGUUAGCACCGAAGAGAAAUCUUUAAAUGAGGUUCGGGGGGGAGUAUGGUCGCAAGGCUGAAACU